GACGAACGCUGGCGGCGUGCUUAACACAUGCAAGUCGAACGGAAAGGCCCUGCUUGCAGGGUGCUCGAGUGGCGAACGGGUGAGUAACACGUGGGUGAUCUGCCCCUUACUUUGGGAUAAGCCUGGGAAACUGGGUCUAAUACUGGAUAGGACCAUGCUGUAGGUGGUGUGGUGGAAAGAUUAGUUUCGGUAAGGGAUGAGCUCGCGGCCUAUCAGCUUGUUGGUGGGGUAAUGGCCUACCAAGGCGUCGACGGGUAGCCGGCCUGAGAGGGUGGACGGCCACAUUGGGACUGAGAUACGGCCCAGACUCCUACGGGAGGCAGCAGUGGGGAAUAUUGCACAAUGGGCGCAAGCCUGAUGCAGCGACGCCGCGUGGGGGAUGACGGCCUUCGGGUUGUAAACUCCUUUCAGCCAUGACGAAGCCCUUGUGGUGGCGGUAGUGGUAGAAGAAGCGCCGGCUAACUACGUG
rnacentral:rRNA from 1 species